UUUCCUUCUUGCAGAAUCCUUGUUAUUGUGAAGCUAGAGCUUUUUCUCUAUGGCAAAGUCAUGGCUCUGCUGACACCUUUCACAGACAUAUGUUACUUCUUUAAAAUGAGAUAUGACAAAUCAAUAUUUGUGUUUGCACUGCAGUGUCUCUGCCGUGUGUAGCAGUAUUCAGACACCCGAUAACCCCCGAGAUGGCAGUUAUUUCCCUAGCUAAAAUAAAUCUAAAAUUAAACACAGAUAUAAGUUAGAGUGCCAACAGCUUAUUAAUUAAAUUAAAUACAGACAUCAGGAGAGAAAAAGAUGUCCCUCUUUUCCAGAAGGCCAAAAACAGAAGGGUAGGAUAUUUUAACAAAUUCAGUUUGUUUAGGAACCAAGAACAAGGUUGCACCUGAAAUGCAUCUAUCCUAAGAGUGGGACUGUGAUUUCAGUGCCUGAGCUAUACAGAGUGACUCCCAGAAUAUGUCCCUGCUGAGAAAUGAUAGAAUGCAACAUAAAUCAAACUUUGCAAAAUUAUAGUUUGAUGAGGCCAGAUGGCACCAAGAGAAUUUGGAUUUAAACCAAAACUUCUGUUUUAUAGAAAGAAUUCUGGAGUUAUGACAUAGGGUACAAAAAAUUGGGUACUACUCCUUUUAUAUCAAGGCAGGGAGCAGUUUCCGCCAAAUGAGGCUUGAAUGAUGGACAGAGUGGAGAAUUAAACUCCAGAAUAUUUUGUAAUCCUCUUCCAUGAAGUAAAGCAUUUAUGGCAUUUUAAAAUAGUUUUAGAAACUUUUACAAAAAUUCAUUAAAAAACAAG